rnacentral:sRNA from 1 species
AUCAACACCCCAGAGACUGAAGUCCUCUGUUUAGCCACAGAUCAGGUACAACAAAGGCAAGAGAAGUUCCAGUUCCCUUCAUGUAUUCUGCCUAAAUUCUCAUCUAGAAGAGCCACCUCCGAGCCUCAUGGGUGAGUCAGUCCUUGGCCUCUGUUGAGAAUAUCGCCAAG